GACCAAAGGAAGGGUAGCUUUUGCCCUUUGCAGUAUGGGCAACUUUUUUACAAAAUAUAUCACAGAACUAACUGGAAACCUUUGGAUCCGCCAUUUCUAGAAACAUCAUCAGGCACAAACUCGAAGCUCAGAAAAUUAGACUAAUGAUGUCGUGAAUACGAGGACACUCGUAUGUUCUUUUUUCGGGAACAUGGCUAACACUAUCACAUUUGAAGGAACCAUAUCGCUAUCUUUGGGAGCCUUGGGAGUGUGUGUGUGUGUGUGUGUGUGUGUGUGUGUGUAUCAUUAGAGAUCAAGAGCAGCUCAAGUGGGCCCACACUGCUUCAGCAGAACAUGACUGCAGACAGAUCUUUCCUUCUCGACACAGAUCAACACGUCGGUGAUCAUUUCUCCAUCAGGGUGGUCCAAAGCUUGUGGCUCGUAUUACUAUUUAAAAACCGGCCUCUUAGCUGCAGCUUCACAAACACAACUCGAAGCAUCAUGGGAAUAAUCUCCUGCUUGAAUACUUCUAAAGUGCUCUCCCUCUAUCACUUUCUUUCCCUCUCAUCCCUUCUUCCUCUCCCUCUCACAGCAGACCUGCGGGCAGUAAAGAUGCAGGAAGAAGAGAAUCUCUCUACCUGCUCUGAUUGUUGUUGCAUAAUUAAAGACGAUGCUCAAAGGAGUGUUACUGAGCCCCAGGUCCACCGCAACGACAGAUAUUUACAAGGCUUGGAAUCCAGUCGUCUACGCACACCUGGUGUCUGUCGACCUUCCAGGAGGCUGCAGGUCGGCAGCAGGUUACCCUGUGACAGGACUGGUCUUUACCAAGCAAGAAAAAUGAAGAUGAUGAGGACUUGCAACAAACUGAAGUUCCUUGAGUGUCCACUUGAGGCAGGCUGUUGCUCCAAUAGAUUCUUGAGGCUUGUUUGUUUGUUUGAGACAUUAGAUUUCAGCAGCAGCCCUGACGGCGUUGAAUGAAGCAGCGUGGUGAUAAUGAAAACGAAUAUGAAAAUAAAAAUAUAUUAAUUUACACAUUUAGUUAAUUUAUAAGUAUUUAUAGAAAUACUUACAUGUAUAUACAGAUGGUAAGA